CUAGCCGUAAACGAUGGGUACUAGGUGUGGGAGGUAUCGACCCCUUCCGUGCCGGAGUUAACGCAAUAAGUACCCCGCCUGGGGACUACGAUCGCAAGAUUGAAACUCAAAGGAAUUGACGGGGGCCCGCACAAGCGGUGGAGUAUGUGGUUUAAUUCGAAGCAACGCGAAGAACCUUACCUAGACUUGACAUCUCCUGAAUUACCCGUAAUGGGGGAAGCUCUUCGGAGCAGGAAGACAGGUGG
rnacentral:rRNA from 1 species